AAAGUCGUAACAAGGUUUCCGUAGGUGAACCUGCGGAAGGAUCAUUAUUGAACUCAUCUGCUGGGUUGUUGCUGGUUCCUUAUGGUUCAAGUGCACGCCUAGCUCUUGAUUUUAUCCCAUGUGCACUUUUGUAGUCAAUUUUUAUGUGUUUAGUCGAUUGUCUGGUUCCGGAGGCUAUGUCCUCUGUGCUAAGACUUUGGACUAGACAUUGAGUUGUUCUACGUUUAUACAAACCCAUUGUAUGUUCAGAAGUCUUUUAUUGGUCGGAAGACCUUUAAUCAUAAUACAACUAUUGACAACGGAUCUCUUGGCUCAC
rnacentral:misc_RNA from 1 species